rnacentral:rRNA from 1 species
CCAGCAGCUGCGGUAAUUCCAGCUCCAAUAGCGUAUAUUAAAGUUGUUGCCGUUAAAAAGCUCGUAGUCGAACUUCGGCCCUUGCUGGCCGGUCCGCCUUUUUGGUGUGUACUUGCUCAGUGAGGGCUUACCUCCUGGUGAACUGGCAUGUCUUUUACUAGGUGUGCCAGCCAACCCGGACGUUUACUUUGAAAAAAUUAGAGUGUUCAAAGCAGGCCUUUGCCCGAAUACAUUAGCAUGGAAUAAUAGAAUAGGACGCGCGUUCCCAUUUUGUUGGUUUCUGAGAUCGCCGUAAUGAUUAAUAGGGAUAGUUGGGGGCAUUUGUAUUCCGUCGUCAGAGGUGAAAUUCU